GUAUGUAACAGAGCAAUAUAAGCCUUGGUUGAGGUAAGGUACGGCGGACAUGUUAGGUGGAACGAUUCCCUCGUGUCCCCGGCUGAAUAAAGCAAUGCCUGCUCGUUAAUGCUAAACCCAGCGUUAAGGAGUUUUCAUUCCCGAUUUCGGUGACAAUUUGGUGACUCCGGUGGGACACUGCCUGAAGCUCAAUGGAUUCACGGGAUCGCGAGGACUCCGGCACCACUGAAGUGUUUUUCGGGGAGAUCCUCCGAUCCCCUGAUCCGCCUCCCCGCUGACCUCGGACGUUCCAGUGCCUCCCUAUCAUCCAGGAGACUCAGUAUACAUCAGGACCUGGAAUAAUGAGCCUCUUAAAGAAAAGUGGAAAAGACCAUUUCAAGUUCUCCUGACCACCCACACAGCAGUCAAAGCUGAAAGGCUUGAACUGUGGAUACUUUUCACUCAGGUGAAACCAGCCCCACCGCUGGAGGGACCUCAGCGGAGAGUGGGAUCGGCAGAGUGUCUGUGACGAGACUAACAAAAAGAUGAGGACAUUUCUCACACUAUGUAUUCUGGGAUGGGGUGUAGUGGGGAUAGAGCCCAUAAUUGAUGGAGACGGUCAUGACAAUGCAUAUGAAAAUCUGGAAGUUAAUUUUGCACAGACAGUGAAUAUGACUGAUUGUUGGAUUUGCUCACAGGUAAUGACAGGGUGGACGGGAGUUCCCUGGAGAAUUUUUCCCUUAGGAUGGCCAGAAUUAUGUUUAGGAUUUAAAUAUAGAGCCACAGUAAGUAUAACACCCUGAUCAAUAAUUCUAGUUUAGUGAUACUGACUUCCCACAACCAAACUACACUCCUUACGAGAAACCACAGCCUAUAAUCAUUCUAGGCCAUACACAAGAGGGAAUCUUUUGUUACCAAGCAGGUAAAGAAACUGUAACCAGUAACAGUAUAAUUUUAAAUUGGUGUAAUGUCAACAAUAAUACCAGAGUUCACAAUCCUAAAAUUACCAGUGGAUUAAGAGAACCCAUGGAGUGUUGGAAAUAGUACCUGUAAAUAUUACAUUACUAUGUCCAGUAAUGCCACAGUGGAAAACGACUUACCUGGGAAAAAUGUAACUAUAGGAAUGGAUGGUUUUAUAUUUGCCAUGUGGAAAAAUAGAAGCAUAGCCUUUGGAUCCUGGGCGGGGACUUAUUGGAUAUGUGGAGAUAAUGCAUACGAAUGACUUCCUCCAGGCUGGUGUGGCUCCUGUUAUACGGGUUUGCUAGCCUCACUCUUCUGGAUAUGAAAAAAAACCCCACUGAGCGGGCUUCUUAGGCAAAAGACUGAUAGACACCAGCGACCAUCCUGUAAUUACCGAAGGAGCUAGGUUUUGGUAUGUAACGUGCCCCAUGUGUGCUGUGGGAAAAUAUGGAACUUACAUAAACAAAUUGAGUAUCCUGGUCAAGCACCUGGCUAACCCUAUGGUCAAAGUGUUAAAUAGCACCUCCUUUGAGUUAUUACAAGUUAGGAUGGUAACCUUGCAAAACAGAAUGGCCUUAGCUUAUCUACUAGCCAGUCAAGGGGGUGCCUGUGCUAUAACUGGAAAAGAGUUUUGUACGUACAUAGCUGACGGUUUCAAAAUCCAACAGUCAGGCAUAUCAUCUAUUGAAAAGGCAAUACAAGAAUGGGAAAAGAUGAAAAAACAAUCAUGGUGGGAUUGGCUCACUUUUUGGUUACAAAAUUUGCAAUGUCUUAAAGGAAUGUUUAUAGUUGUGUUAGUAAUAGUGUUGGAAAAUUAGUGAAGGAAAAAAAAAUGUUUAGGGUAGUAUAAGAACUUAAGCAAUCAGUCGAACACUUGCAACAUAUUGUCAGUUGCAGAGAGGUCCUUGGGCUUGGCAAGCGUGAUAAACACCUUCUGGGGAAUGCGUAAAUGGAGAGGCUUCCUGCGUAAAUUGGGAGACUCCUAAUCAGGAACCCCUGUCCUUGAAGAUUAAGGCCCUCUGAAAAAUACUGAACUAGCUGAAGCUAGGCAGGAGGUAAGAAAGUGCAGACAUAAACCAAAGGCUACAUUCAAAAGUGUAGACAGAGGCUGAGGAAGGCUCUUCUCCAAAAACCGCCAGAGUCUGCUAGAGACCACCAACGAUCCCCAUGUUACAAUUACCCUAAUGAAAUAAUUUGAAACUUAUAAUAUGAUUUUAAUUUCUAGUUAUGUGAGUGGUUAUAGUAUAUAUAGGGUUAUAGUGGCUGUGAGAACAUAGGAUAUGUUAAGGUUCCUAGGAGUAAGUAACUAGACUAGUCAUGAAAAGGUAUACUUUAUGUAUUCUGUUUGCCUCAAAGACUGUGGAAAUCAUUAUGGACUCUGAAUUGAAACAAUAGGUCCCAGAAGAAACUGGGUUUGGUUUGGGAAAUAAGCCAAAGGAUGAAAUGAGGAUGCGCAAGGAUGGGUGUGGUAGUUAGGGUCUUAAGAACAGGCUUGUGCAGUUUGUUAAAAAUCAAUUAGAAACAGUUAAUCUAAUGUUAGUAGAACGUCAACAGCUGCUUUAAGAGCACAACACUGGUAUUAAUCUUUGUUUAAUUUUUAUAUAUGUAAGGUAUGUCCUAUAAUUAACAAGUGUCUUCUCUUUUCUACUUAUUUGUUGCGUAUAAGUUUUUUAUUAUAACCUCUUGAGUUUGUUACGUUUUUAUUAACCUAUUUACAUAUAUUAACAGAAUUUUAGCCAUCUUAGGUGUUACUAACCGAAUGUGCCUUGUAUUUUAUAUUGUUUUUCUACCCAUUUAUUUUGAGCAUAGGGAAGGGGGGAAAUGUGGUAGUUAGGGUCUGGCGGCCGGAAGAUAUCGCGCUGUACGGAAAGGUAGGCCCCCUCUCCCUAUAGUGUUUAGUUUAUGAUGUAAGCAGACGGAAGUGAUGUUGUAAACUCAAGCUAUAUAAGGCUGUGUCAUUCAGUAAUAAAACGCCAUUUGCCGUCCACCACACUGGUGUCUGUGAGCAGAUGGCCCGAGCGGCCGGGGGUUGGCCGCCGUGCCGUUCCUGAACCAGGUCACCACGCCUGCAAUAGGCAACAGAUGGGGUUCAGUCAGUGCACACGGUGAGGAAGACUAUCGACGUGCACCAGAGCACCCCCGUGCAACAUAACCACGCGUGGGUUAGAGACAUUUGCAUAUGAUAACGAUUUCCAGGAAAGAGCAUGAGUACGCUAAUCACUUCUAUCAAUAUAUCCUCUUUUGUUUGAAUAUCAAGGAUUACAAUCAGUAAAGUUGACCAGUGAUUACUUUAGAAUAAGAAUACGGAUAAGGUGAGGUAACUGAUAAAAUCAAUUGUUGUAAAGGUCAAAUUAAAAAGCAUUUAUUCUAUGCAUUUUUAUGUAAAGGAACUUAUGUAACCAUGAAUCGGCUGAAAAGGUGUAUAAAUAUGUUGUGUUUUGUACCUGUUGGAGAACACAUUUUGGUGGAGCUCUCCCCCGUGUUCCCCAGUGCUGGAAUAAAGAAGUGCCUGCUUAUCUA